AGCUGAGCGCGCGAGGCCGGCGCAGCUGCUGCGGCGUCGCCCCACAUGCGCCGAGCAGCUGACGUUUACUUUCCCGUCAGUCCGCGCAGCGCGAACGCGUGUACCGGCUGACGAAAUCCGGUAACGAUGUUCGCGCCGCGGCGGUGCAGUGCAGCAGCUGCGAACCUGCGCGCAGCUAUCCCGGCGGCGGCAGCCCCCGUCCGUGCUUGAGCACAUCGUGGGCUUAGUGCAGCUGAGCGCACGCAGCCGCAUCGGCAGCACGAGACAGGAUUCGAGAUUAUGGCGAGCCGCAACAAGAACAAGCCCCGGCUGUCGCAGCGCGCCAAGCAGGAGCGUCGCAAGGACAUGAGUGAGAUCCAGGAGAAAAUGUUCUCCGUCGUUGUUCCGGUGAUCGCCACCUUCGCCAUGCUCGUGGUGCUCAUCAUCUACGUGAAGACGAGGCCUCGCACCACCGACUUCUGAGCCCAAUGAGCGCCUUGCCACCUCGAGGUUCGA
rnacentral:lncRNA from 1 species